rnacentral:rRNA from 1 species
AACGAACGCUGGCGGCAGGCCUAACACAUGCAAGUCGAGCGCGCCCUUCGGGGUGAGCGGCGGACGGGUUAGUAACGCGUGGGAAUAUACCCGACACUAAGGAAUAGCCUCUGGAAACGGAGAGUAAUACCGCAUACGCCCUUCGGGGGAAAGAAUUUCGGAGUUGGAUCGGCCCGCGUUAGAUUAGGUAGUUGGUGGGGUAACGGCCUACCAAGCCUACGAUCUAUAGCUGGUUUGAGAGGAUGAUCAGCAACACUGGGACUGAGACACGGCCCAGACUCCUACGGGAGGCAGCAGUGGGGAAUCUUCGGCAAUGGGCGCAAGCCUGACCGAGCCAUGCCGCGUGAGCGAUGAAGGCCUUAGGGUUGUAAAGCUCUUUCGCCAGGGAUGAUAAUGACAGUACCUGGUAAAGAAACCCCGGCUAACUCCGUGCCAGCAGCCGCCGUAAAAC